GUCCAGGGGCGGGAAUCGAACCCAUAACCUUCCGCUUACUGGGCAGAUGCCAUGUCCACUAGGCUACCCUGGA
rnacentral:tRNA from 1 species